CGAACGAGUUCUCGUUGAUGAUCGGUGCUUGCACCGAGAUUCAACAUGGAACGAGUGGCGGACGGGUGAGUAACACGUGGGUAACCUGCCCUUAAGUGGGGGAUAACAUUUGGAAACAGAUGCUAAUACCGCAUAGAUCCAAGAACCGCAUGGUUCUUGGCUGAAAGAUGGCGUAAGCUAUCGCUUUUGGAUGGACCCGCGGCGUAUUAGCUAGUUGGUGAGGUAAUGGCUCACCAAGGCGAUGAUACGUAGCCGAACUGAGAGGUUGAUCGGCCACAUUGGGACUGAGACACGGCCCAAACUCCUACGGGAGGCAGCAGUAGGGAAUCUUCCACAAUGGACGCAAGUCUGAUGGAGCAACGCCGCGUGAGUGAAGAAGGCUUUCGGGUCGUAAAACUCUGUUGUUGGAGAAGAAUGGUCGGCAGAGUAACUGUUGUCGGCGUGACGGUAUCCAACCAGAAAGCCACGGCUAACUACGUGCCAGCAGCCGCGGUAAUACGUAGGUGGCAAGCGUUAUCCGGAUUUAUUGGGCGUAAAGCGAGCGCAGGCGGUUUUUUAAGUCUGAUGUGAAAGCCCUCGGCUUAACCGAGGAAGCGCAUCGGAAACUGGGAAACUUGAGUGCAGAAGAGGACAGUGGAACUCCAUGUGUAGCGGUGAAAUGCGUAGAUAUAUGGAAGAACACCAGUGGCGAAGGCGGCUGUCUGGUCUGUAACUGACGCUGAGGCUCGAAAGCAUGGGUAGCGA
rnacentral:rRNA from 1 species